rnacentral:siRNA from 1 species
UACCCAGGUGGAAGCUUCAUA